rnacentral:rRNA from 1 species
GAUGAACGCUGGCGGCGUGCCUAAUACAUGCAAGUCGAGCGAACGGACGAGAAGCUUUCUUCUCUUAUGUUAGCGGCUGACGGGUGUGUAACACGUGUAUAACCUACCUAUAAUACUUGGAUAACUUCGGGAAUCCGUAUCUAAUACCGUAUAAUAUUUUGAACCUCAUGGUUCAAAAGUGUAAUACGUUCUUUCUGUCACUUAUAGAUUGAUCCUCGCUGCAUUAGCUAGUUGGUAAGGUAACGCCUUACCAAGGCAACGAUGCAUAGCCGACAUGAGAGGGUGAUCGGCCACACUGGAACUGAGACACGGAACAGAGAACUACGGGAGGCAGCAGUAGGGAAUAUUGCGCAAUGGGCGAAAGCAUGACGGAGCAAAGCGGCGUGAGAGAAGAAGGACUAAGGAUCGUAAAAAUAUGUUAUGAGGGAAGAAAAAAUGUGUAAGAAAAAGUGAAGAUAAUGACGGUAACUAAAAAGAAAGCAACGGCUAACUACGUG